rnacentral:rRNA from 1 species
CCUACGGGAGGCAGCAGGGAGGAAUAUUGGACAAUGAACGAGAGCCUGAACCAGCCAAGUAGCGUGAAGGAUGACGGCCCUACGGGUUGUAAACUUCGUUUGUAAAGGACUAAAGUGAGGCAAGUGUGCGUUUUCGUAUGUACAGUCUGAAUAAGGAUCGGCGAACUCAGUGCCAGCAGCCUCGGUAAUACGGAGGAUCCGCGCGUUAUCCGGAUUUCUUGGGUUUAAAGGGAGCGUAGAUGGGUUGUUAAGUCAGUUUUGAAAGUAUGCGGCGCAACCGUAAAAUUGCAAUGGAUACUGGCAGUCUGGAGGACAGUAGAGCUAGGCGGAAUUCGUGGUGUAGCGGUGAAAUGCUUAGAUAUCACGAAGAACUCCGAUUGCGAAGGCAGCUGACGAGACUGCCACUGACAUUGAUGUUCGAAAGUGUGGGUAUCAAACAGGAUUAGAUACCCCUGUAGUC